UACGUAGGGUGCGAGCGUUAAUCGGAAUUACUGGGCGUAAAGCGUGCGCAGGCGGCGCGUUAAGACAGGUGUGAAAGCCCCGAGCUUAACUUGGGAAUUGCGCUUGUGACUGGCGAGCUGGAGUGUGGCAGAGGGAGGUGGAAUUCCACGUGUAGCAGUGAAAUGCGUAAAGAUGUGGAGGAACACCGAUGGCGAAGGCAGCCUCCUGGGCCAGCACUGACGCUCAUGCACGAAAGCGUGGGGAGCAAACAGG
rnacentral:rRNA from 1 species